AACCCGUAGAUCCGAACUUGUGGUGACUCUCUGCGCAAGUUCAUAUCUAUAGGUAUG
ensembl:miRNA gmo-mir-100a gmo-mir-100a